UUUAAGCAUAUCACUCAGUGGAGGAACAGCAAGCAACUGCGAUUGCUUCAGUAACGGCGAUUGAACAGGCAAGGACAGGGCUCAGCCCAGAUGUGAGUUCCCUAUCUGGCCACAGGCUGUGUCGUGGGUGUGGCAGCGGUGAGGUGGUGGUGGUGGCGUACUGUCGUGACCGCUGCUGAUGCAGACGGUAAAUGGCAUGCGUCUCUCGCUCUCUCGCUCGCCCCUCUCUCUUCUCGGCUGUGUGCGUCAUGAUCGGCUAUCAUGGAAUCUCUGCAAAUGCUGUGGGCUGUGGAGCGGCUGGCUAUGCUGUCGACGACCGUGGUAUCUGGAAUAGCCCUGGAACGGGCAGCCAUAGAGGGCGAAAGCCCCCUACUGUGUGUGCCAUGGUCGUCCCGAUGGUGUGGCUGGUCGCAUCCAGGAGUAGAACUGUUUGGGACUGCAGUUUGAAGCGGGAUGUGUAUCCAUCCCAAAGCAGAAUACAGACCUGAGACCGAUAGCGCACAAGUAGAGUGAUUGAAGGAUGCAAAGAACUCAGCGAAGAGGGUUAAAAGUCCCUGAAGCCUCGGCAGGAAUGGCGGUGGAUGAUGCUGUGGGAAUCAUCGAGAGCAUCGGAUCGGGGGUUCCGCGGGACAGCAAGCAACAAGAGACCAUGAGCAGUGUUCUCUCUCUCUCACGACGACGGGGGACAAGCGGUUGUCUGAUGGCAAUGCGCCGGCCUUCUCCCGCCGUGUCAGUGAGUGGGGUGUGUGGAGACCUGUCGACGGCUCGUUUGUUUGUUCCGUGGAUCACCAUCAAUGCUCCUCGUAGUGGUGCUCCAGGCAGCCUUGGGCCAGCCUCCCGGACCGGCCACUGAGCCUCUGUACCCUCUUCGGAGGGGUUGCGGAGAUGUAAUCGUGGUAUCCGGAGGUGACAGCAAGCCUGACAGGGCCCGAGGUUUGUCAUGACAACACAGGUGCAGCAGCAGUCAGUAGCGAUACUGACGUCUGUUUUGAUCAGACACAAGAGAGAGGAUGAGAGUCAACGCUGGCCCCGCAAGAGGGGCCAGUCAUCGGGCCCCGGUGAUUACAGCCGGAUCCGGGAUGUGGCGUCACGUGGUGACUGCACCGUGCUCCACGGUGGUCACCUGUGUGCGUUGAUCCCCCGGUCGGGGCCUGGUGCAGAAGGCAGAUCUGAUGCCUGGCCACACACACCCCUCACGGGGCUGUGUGCCAGUGCCAUCCACUGCCCGUCUUGAAACACGGACCAAGGAGUCUAUGGAGCUUGCGAAAGGUUGUCUGGCCCGCCAAAGCCAGUUAGAGGGCACGGUGAAAGCAACAGCCAUCCCGGAUGUGCCCGCGUUAUGAACAACGGCACUGCAAGGGACACCGGACCUGCAGUCCGGCGGACGGGGUUUUGAGUGCAUGCAAGGUCCAUGGGACCCGAAAGGUGGUGAACUAUGCCAUUCCACACCGAAGCCAUGGGAAACUGUGGUGGAAGGUGGUAGCUGUUCUGACGUGCAAAUCGUGUAGCCCGAGAGUGGCAUAGGGGUGAAAGGCCAAUCGAACCACCUAGUAGCUGGUUCCCUCUGAAGUUUCCCUCAGGAUAGCUGGGCUCGACUGGUGCAACAAAGCGACUGCACAUCAACCUACCAAGUGGUUUUGUCCGGUAAAGCAACGCAUGAGAGGCGAUGCGGGGAAGACUAUUCUUCUCCACCUAUUCUCGAACUGUGAAUGGGCAAGGCACAACCAGGCACACUUCUUCAGUCAUGCCCGGAGUCCGUGGCGGCCGGUGUUACAGCCGACGUCACGGUUCUCCCCGGGCCUCUGAGUGUGUUAGCAAAGCAAAAGCAAAGAGAGAGAGAGAGCAGUAGUAGUAGCAUGCGAUUUGAUGUGGAACACCAGGGCCUAUGUGGGCCACUACUGGUAAGCAGUGCUGGCGACGCGGGAUGCUCCGAGAGUGGAUUUACAGAUCCAGAAUGCUGGCUCAUACUCAGAUCCCACAAAGGAUGUUGAUUGCUCUUGAUAGCAGGACGGUGGCCAUGAAGGUUGGAACCCGCUGAAGGAAUGUGUAACAACUCACCUGCCGAAGCGUUCAGCUCCGAAAAUGGAUGGUGCCCAAGUCAGUGGAGACUCAUAGUCCACCAUUGCUGUGGCAGUCUUGAAGCAGAGCAUCACUGUGUAAGAAGGGCACUGGGGACUGCGUAGCCAGUCGGGGCCGCCCCCGGCUGGAGCGUCUCCAGGAGCAGAUCUUGGUUGUAGUAGCGAGUACUCCAUCGAGGGUCGGCAGAAACGCUUCGGGCGUACCCUCUGCUUUGUGCGGUUGAGGACUGGAGUGGAGCAGGUUUCCACACCAACAGCCGUUGAAUGUGGGUCAACCGACCGUGAGCCAAGUGGUAAGUUCACCGAACAACCAAAGCUGCCAAAGGGCUGUUGCUGUGUCCUCUCCUCUCCCCCCUCCGUGCCGUGGUGUCGCCCUCGUGGUGUUGCUGCGGUGCGUGUGUGGGGGUUGGUUGGGCCGGUGGCAGUCCGGAAGCAGGAGUGGCAAACAGGCAAGCAGUUGCAACAUUCUGCUGUGACGGGUCCGGGGUACUCGAUAGGUGAGGAUGGCGACAUCCCACGGCACGUUUACCAAGCAGGCUUCGGGGCAGUGGCACCCCCAAGGAGUUGUCGUUUCCUUCUGAUGCGAGAUCCAUGUGGGCUAUGGAUUGUCAUGACAGAUGGUGCUGUAUGCCCUACGCUCAGCAGGGCAGCAUGGACUUCCAUGCUGGUGGAAUCAAAAUUGAGCGAGCGAGCGAGAGAGAGAGAGAAGCAGCAGCGCAGCAGCAUUUCCUUCAAUCAACACUAUGGUGGCCACUGGCUCCAAUGAAAGGCCUGUGAAGCUUUGUGCCCCGACCCCUUGUGGUCGUACUGAAUCACCGCAGCCGGUCUCCUCGGCAAGACGCCGCUAGUCAACGGACGAAAUGCAGCUAAGGGAAGUCGGCAAACUUGCUGCGUAACCUUGGAAGAUGCAGUGGCUCCAGAGGCCAGGACGUUGUGGGACCCACCGGGAGCUGUGUGGUGUCCAUGUGGGGAUCAAGACCGACUCCGACUGGGGCGUCAUGCGCCUCGGUUGGGACUGGACUCGCCCGCGCGGACUCGCCGCACUGCCGUCUCUCCGGCGGGUGGCUCGUGUGGUGGCACACUCGUGUCCCGCGCGUGCCAGACCCCUCGUCUCCACAGUGGCUCAUGUGGAACUGUUGCUGUGCAGGGGAAUCUGACUGUUUAAUUGAAACCCAGCUUUGUGACGGGACCAGCUGGCUGGUACCAUGAGGUGACUUCUGCCCAGUGCUCUGACUGUCAAUGCGAAGAGAUUCAGCCAAGCGCGGGUAAACGGCGGGAGUAACUAUGACUCUCUUAAGGUAGCCAAAUGCCUCGUCAACCAAUUAUUGACGCGCAUGAAUGGAUCAACGAGAUUCCUGCUGUCCCUAGUCGCUGUCUGGUGAACCAACAACCAAGGGAACGGGCUUGGAUGUGUCAGCGGGGAAAGAAGAGCCUGUUGAGA
rnacentral:rRNA from 1 species